rnacentral:rRNA from 1 species
UGGGGAAUAUUGGACAAUGGGCGAAAGCCUGAUCCAGCCAUGCCGCGUGUGUGAAGAAGGUCUUCGGAUUGUAAAGCACUUUAAGUUGGGAGGAAGGGCAGUAAGCGAAUACCUUGCUGUUUUGACGUUACCGACAGAAUAAGCACCGGCUAACUCUGUGCCAGCAGCCGCGGUAAUACAGAGGGUGCAAGCGUUAAUCGGAAUUACUGGGGGUAAAGCGCGCGUAGGUGGUUCGUUAAGUUGAAUGUGAAAGCCCCGGGCUCAACCUGGGAACUGCAUCCAAAACUGGCGAGCUAGAGUAGGGCAGAGGGUGGUGGAAUUUCCUGUGUAGCGGUGAAAUGCGUAGAUAUAGGAAGGAACACCAGUGGCGAAGGCGACCACCUGGGCUCAUACUGACACUGAGGUGCGAAAGCGUGGGGAGCAAACAGG